rnacentral:lncRNA from 1 species
AUCUCAGGAACCUGCUGCAGAAUAUAGAUAUACUUUCUUGAAUUGUUAUCCUGUCUCCCAGUAAGAGAGCUUUGUGCUGUUAAUUACAGCCUGAAGCCAUUGAAUACUACUGCUGUGUUAAAGUUGAAUCUUCAGGAAUGGCAUGUUGAUGAAUUGAUGCAAGGUUCAUUGCCAGCACUGUCUUGCAUAUUUUAUGAGGAUCCUAGUACUGACCUGGCUGUGGGUGAAAACAUGUUAUGACCAGAAGGUACAUGCAGCAUGGUUUUUGCACAUGAAGUUGCGUCAUUCCUGGUGUUUACUUAUUGACUGUUUUCCCACACUUUUAAGGGAAUAUAUAGAAAAGUAGCACCAGAGACAGAUCCUUGCUAGAUGAAAACCAUCAGACUUUGGGUGAAGCAGGAGAACUUUGACACAGAAGGGAACAUUUCCUUCGUCAUUAUUUGACAAGACUGGUGUCUCUAAACAGGACCAAGGAUUAGACUGUAGUGAAUAAAUUUAUAAAACACCUGUCA